AAUACUAAACCCUAUAUAUACUUUUAAAACCCUAAACUCGAAAUAAAAAUCUUAAACUCUUAUUUUAACUUUAAAUCUCAAACUUAAAUUCAAAAAUUAAUGUUUUUCAGGUUUUACUCUUAAAUCUUUAAUCUAACCUCGAAACUAUAUUCCAAACCAUACACUUUAAACCUAAACAUAAUACCCUAAAUCAGAAAUACAAACACCAAAACUAAUAUUUUCAAACUCAAAUGUUAAACAUAAAUUACAAUCUCUAUACCCCAAAUCAAAACAUAAUCUUUAAAGAAUUUAAUUAUUUAAACUAAAUAAAUAAUGCUCAAUAUAUAAUUAUUAGUUAUUUAUAUAAAUAUUUAAAAUGUUUACACGUAAACUUUAUCUCUUUGUUUGGUAAGCAUGUAAACUUUAUCUAAAAUUAAAACAAAACAGUAUCUUUAAUUCUAAGGCUUAAACUAUUAAACCUAAACAAACCCUCUAUAACCCCUAAACUCAAACCCUAAAACUUUUAAUUCUAAAUAAAAACUAAACACUAUAGUAUAACUAAACUUUCUCUUAAAUCCUAAACUAUAAAUAUACUUUAAUAAAAGUGACACUUAACUUUAUAUUUUCAUACUAUAGACUCAAAUUUUAAACUAGUCUUUUAUUUUGAACUAAAUCACCAGAUUAUAUUCAUAAACAUGACACUUAACUUUAUAUUUUUGUUUUGAACUAAAUCAACAUAUCUUAAAUCAUUAACAUAAUUUUUAAUAUCUAUAGUUAAAAAAGUAUAAAAUUAAAUAAAACAUUCUCUUUUGUCUUCCAUAUAUAUUAAAGGGAAAUUGCAGUAGAUAUACAUGAAAACUUAUUUAAUUAGGUAUAUACCUAUUGUCACUGGGUAUUUUUGAUAAUGGCCAGAUUACCCCCUUAUUGUAUUUUGCAGACAAUAACCGACAAAACCCCUUAUCUCUUUAGCCAUCUCUCUCUCCUUUUUUUUCUCGUUCAGUUUCUCUUUUUAUUUUAUUUUUGUUGAAAGUUUUUUUUCUCUUCUUUCUGACAAACUAUAACUUUCUCAUAAAAAAAACCUUCCUCAUGUCUGUUUCCAGAAGCGUUUUCUACUCUCUUUUUUUUCUCUGUUCUGUUUCCAGAGCAACACGAGAAAAACAAAACUUGAUCUUUUGGUGGUUUGAUUUUUGUUUCAGAAGAAUCAGAACAAUGAUUUUGUUGUGAGUUAUCUCUAUAGGAUUGGAGGAGGCAAGGCGUACUUCUAUCGAGAUGGAAGACAUAUGUAAUGGUCAUCUCUCUCUCUCUCUCUCUCUCACAUCUGAUUUUUUGUUCUUGGUAACAGCGGUUGUCGUGAGCAAGAGGAGACGUCUCGACCCGUCGUCACCGGUCUCGAGCUUUCCCCCAUCACCACCGGUCUCGAUCUUUGCCCCCGUCACCACCGGUCUCGAGCUUUGCCCUCGUCACCACCGGUCUCGAGCUUGCCCCCGUCACCACCGGUCUCGAACUCGUCCCCGUCGUCAUCGCUAUCGCUGGUGCUGGGGAUGGAGACAGAACAGAGGAAGACAUCGAGAAGAGAGGCAAAGGAGGAAGGAGGAGGAGGCAGCAAAGAGAGUAGGUUUAGGGUUAAUUAGGUUUAGGUUAAUUAGGUUUAGGUUAAAUAUGUUUUGGUUAAUUAGAUUUGGGUUUAAUGUUUUUAAUUAGGUUUCUUCGUUAUUUGAAGUACUCCGAAAUUACCGAGUUUGUUUACAGGUAUCCAACAUUUCUAAUGUCGCAUAACAAAAUGAUGUUCUUGGCUAUUACAAAUUUUAGCCGGAUUAUUUUUGUAAUAUCUGGAUAAAAGCUAACACGUCCA